rnacentral:rRNA from 1 species
CCGGGUCCUAAGGCGAGGCCGAAAGGCGUAGUCGAUGGAUAGCAGGUUAAUAUUCCUGCGCACAUACAAAGAUCAAAGCAUAGUGCGGAUCUGUGAGCUCACCAAGACUGUUAGAUGUCUAGGCCCUCGGGCCGUUGGUGGGGGAUCGGGUUCCUAGAAAAGCUAUGUGGGCGAUGUAUGUCCCGUACUAAAACUGACACAGGUAGACGAGGCGAAUAGCCUCAGGCGCUCGAGAGAAUGGUCGUGAAGGAAUUAGGCAAAUUAACUCCGUAAGUUCGCGAUAAGGAGGCCCUUCGGGGCGCAGAGAAAAGGCCCUGGCAACUGUUUAUCAAAAACACAGCACUGUGCUAACUCGCAAGAGGAUGUAUACAGUGUGACGCUUGCCCAAUGCCCGAAUGUCACGGAAGCUGGUUAGCAUUAUGCGAAGCUAGUAACCUAAGCACGGGUCAAUGGCGGCCGUAACUAUGACGGUCCUAAGGUAGCGAAGUUCCUUGUCGGGUAAGUUCCGACGCGCAUGAAUAGCGUAAUGACUGGGGCACUGUCUCCACGACCAACUCGGUGAAAUAGUAGUGGCGGUGAAGAUGCCGCCUACCCGCAGCAAGACGGAAAGACCCCGUGAACCUUUACUGCAG